rnacentral:rRNA from 1 species
AGAGUUUGAUCCUGGCUCAGGAUAAACGCUGGCGGCGUGCCUAACACAUGCAAGUCGAACGCCCUGCCGAUGAGGUAGGGAGUGGCGGACGGGUGAGGAACACGUGGGUAUCUGCCCUGGGGUGAGGAAUACCGGCGAGAAAUCGCCGACAAUACCGCAUAGGCUCCGCGAGGAGCAAAGUCGCAAGACGCCCUGGGAUG